ACAAAAAUUAGCCAGGCAUGGUGGGGCAUGCCUGUAAUCCCAGCUACUCGGGAGGCUGGGGAACGACAGUUGCUUGAACCCAGGAGAUGGAGGUUGCAGUGACCCGAGUUCUCGACACUGUACUGCAGGCUGGGUGACAGAGCGAGAUUCUGUCUCAGAAAUAAAAAGAAAAGAAAAGAAAACAAAGCUUUUGUAUUUUACAUAAUAAUUGAAAUUUCCAUGUGUGAGUGUAGAUUAAACCAAUUUAUCAAACAUACAUUUUUUUUCCUACAAUAGGAUGGGGGUAUCUUGGUGGAUAUAAACACUGCUGAACAUUCAACUGUCAUAACUUUUUCUGAUUACCAUGAGGGAUCUGCACCUGCCUUGAUAAUGAACCAUACACCAUGGGACAUCCUCACAUACAAACAGAGUGGGUCACCAGAAGAAAUGGUCUUGCUGCCAAGACAAGCUCGACUUUUUGCCUGGGCGGAUCCUACUGGUACCAGAAAACUUACAUGGACAUAUGCAGCAAAUGUUGGGGAACAUGAUCUAUUAAAGGUAUCAUUUGAUGUGAAUGAGUGCUAUAUGAGUUACCUGACAGUGAAGAAAGUAGAGAAGCUGUCUUCACUGACUCCUUGUCCUAACUGAACUAAAAAUGAAUUGGAAGUAUUUCCAGAAUAAGCAGCGUUUGGACUUUGGAUGGCGAAUACUGUAGUUCUAACCAAUAUAUUAUCCUAGAUCAAUCUAAACAAUUUAUUUAUAGUUUAUAAAAUAGACCUGCUUUAUCUUGCCCUAGUAACGACCACUAAAGCACCCUUUUUAUUUACCUAUUUUAAAAGGAAGGAAUUGUAAGACUAAGUUAAAAACAACUUUAUUUUGAACAUAUCUAUGCCACCUUUGGCUAUGAGUUUUUAAAACAUUUCUUCCUAAACACAGCUAUAUAUUUUGUUAAUUAAUGGAGUUGGCAAAUUGCCCCAUGUAAGAAAUUUAGUGAAAUAUUUAUUGAAACAAUAUUUAGG
rnacentral:lncRNA from 1 species